ensembl:snoRNA SNORA70 Small nucleolar RNA SNORA70
CUAUAGUCAAUGAGACAAAUCAGGUUAUUUAACUUGUGGUGGCCCUGUGUGCAAUGGCUGCAUACAGUAGACUCUUCGGUAGCAUACACAGCUUUAAUGGGUAUCCUAAGGGACCUUAGAGACAGUC